UGCGAGCACCAACCGCCGGCCGCCCCGCGCUGCGUCGCCCCGCCCCCUCGCCCCCGGCGCUUGCCCGCCGGGCGCCCUCUAGGCUGGGGGGCUGCGGGCGCCCUACCGGUGCCAGCACGGCCAGAGCGGGAGGAGUGCGGCGCGGGCUUGUCCGGACUGCUGGACAGCGGGGUCCAGUCUAGAGGGAGCGGUCAGUGACGGCUGUGGAGGAGGAAGGUCCUGGGCGGCGGCGCGGAAGCCGAGCCUCUGGACCACUGAGCUGGAGGCUGGCCAAGGUGGGGGCUCCCCCACUGAGGGCGCGCCUCAGGGAGAGGACAGGGGCCGGCGGGACCCUGCUUUGUUUCAGUCGCACUGAGGUCCACCUCCUAGCAAAUGAUUGCAAGGAAUAUGAGAAAAAUGGAGUUUCAUUCUUGUCACCCAGGCUGGAGUGCAAUCGCACAAUCUUGGCUCACUGCAACCUCCGCCUCCCAGCCAUCACUGGGGCUUCUCUGCCAUAAGGGAGAUAAAAGGACAUGGAGAGGAAUGGCUUUGGAGUCCAACAGGCUAUUGUUCUGGUUCAUCUUGCAUGUUUGCUUUAAACCACAAACGGCUACUGCACAGUUCUUAUGUGUUCCAAGGAAAAUUGUCUUUUAGGCUACGAAAGAUUCAAAAAAAUUGUUUUCAGUACAAAAAGUCUUGUUAAG